rnacentral:rRNA from 1 species
CGCGGCCUAUCAGCUUGUUGGUGAGGUAACGGCUCACCAAGGCAUCGACGGGUAGCUGGUCUGAGAGGAUGAUCAGCCACACUGGGACUGAGACACGGCCCAGACUCCUACGGGAGGCAGCAGUAGGGAAUAUUGCACAAUGGGCGAAAGCCUGAUGCAGCAACGCCGCGUGCGGGAAGAAGGCCCUAGGGUUGUAAACCGCUUUCAGCAGGGAAGAAAAUGACGGUACCUGCAGAAGAAGGUGCGGCCAACUACGUGCCAGCAGCCGCGGUGACACGUAGGCACCAAGCGUUGUCCGGAAUUAUUGGGCGUAAAGAGCUCGUAGGCGGUUCGGUAAGUCGGGUGUGAAAACUCAAGGCUCAACCUUGAGACGCCACUCGAUACUGCUGUGACUUGAGUCCGGUAGAGGAGUGUGGAAUUCCUGGUGUAGCGGUGAAAUGCGCAGAUAUCAGGAGGAACACCAGCGGCGAAGGCGGCACUCUGGGCCGGUACUGACGCUGAGGAGCGAAAGCAUGGGGAGCAAACAGGAUUAGAUACCCUGGUAGUCCAUGCCGUAAACGUUGGGCACUAGGUAUGGGAUCAUAUCAACGGAUUCCGUGCCGUAGCUAACGCAUUAAGUGCCCCGCCUGGGGAGUACGG